GGUGGAGGCAGAUAUUUAGUGUUAAAUUACGCUACGGUUAUGAACUGCCACAAUCUGCCCCUGGGCUGCCACAAUCGUCAUAUGAAGAUCAAGGAGAGACACACUCAUUUGACGAUUCAGGACCGCCACAGUCAUGACAAUCCAGGACCGCCACAUCCACAAUCCAAGACCACCUCGGUCAUAUGACGAUCCAGGACCGCCACAUUCAUAUGAUGAUCCAGGACCGCCAGUCAUCUGAUGAUCCAGGACUGCCACAGUCGACCAUCCACAUUAGGAGAAAAUCCGAUUCAGGGAAGACUUGCCUCAAUGCAUUUGAAAGUCUGGCCAGACCGCACUCAACAGAACAAAUAGUAUCCCCCAGUUUUGGCCUUUGGACAUGCAGAAUUGCAGUUAAUUUUUUUAUGAAGCCAUCCAUGCCUACCUCAAAAAUGUAAUCUGACAUGUAAAACUCAAAAAGCAUAAAUGUUUGAGGUCAGUUACAACAAUUGUUGAUAAUCCAGGACUUCCACAGUCAUGUGACAAUCCAGAACCACCACACUUAUAUGACGAUCCAGGACAACCGUAGUGAUAUGACGAUCCAGGACGACCAGUCAUAUGAAGAUCCAGGACAUACACAGUGAUAUGACAUUCCAGGCUAAUAAGAAGCAUGGGAUGGCACUUUAGUGCUAGCUAAUUCAUUACUCUUAGCAGGCUAGCUCGAUACUAAGUGGGGGUCUAUAACAAGGCUGUGGUCUAUAAGAAGGCUAAACAAAUAAAUAUUUUCAGUAACA